GUUCUGCGUGCUACACACCCAAUCUCGCUCGCACACCAGGCGCCGCACAACCCUAGCUCCCACUUUCCCCUCGAUCCACUGCCCCUCCCUCCUCUCCGCUCGUCACCAGGGCCUCGCUGCCGCCUACUCCUCCUCCACCACCAUUGCUGCUUCCCCACCUCGACUUCCCUCUCUCCGUUGUUUAUCCGGUCGUCAGCGGCGCCUGGUUCCGGAUCUGGCGCAACCAUCAGGAAGGUGCAAGAUGGUUCCACCAAUCCACUCCUCUCGCGGCGCGCACUGGCGCACACGACGUGCGUGAUGGGCACCCGCACGAAUCUCAUUCCCCAAUCCACAGCCGCUGCACCCUCCCUCCUCUUCCCCCAAUCCCUCGCCGACACAGCCACCGCGACCCUCCCCUCCUCCUCCAUCCGUCCUCCUCGGCCAUCGAUAGUGCUUGGUUCGAGAUCUCCCGAUGGUUAGGCGAGCCCGGUGGUGGGGUGAAGGAGCAGGCGAGGCGGGCGACGAGGGGAAACAAUGGAAGAGGGAGGAGGUCGGCAACAGGGUGAAGGAGCAGGCCGCCCAUCUUGGAGGUUGCGCCGCCGGCUAGGUACCAUUCACCGUCCCCGGUUAGGGGCUAUUCGCUGUCGCUGGCCUCACUCGCCACCAAUUUUGCCAUGGAGAUGAUACGAGAACUUCUGUCGCCAGCCAAUCGAGCCCCAUCUCCAGUGCGCGACCCAAGGAGGACUUUGCGUCGCCGUCUGCCUGCGCUGGUUCGUUCCCUGGACGAAUGACACCAGCCAAGGGAGUGAGUCCAGUGACAUCCUGAUCAUUCAGUCAUUGAGGAUUUGAAAAGAGGCAUCAAGGCAGCAAAUGGGGUAGUAUUUUGAUCUCAUUUUGUGUGAUGCAUUUAUAAAUGGGGCAGUAUUUUGAUCUCAUUUCCACUGACGCAUUUAUUAUUUGUUGUCUUCAUUACAGACCACCAAGUUCGGGUUGCUUUUCUUAUAUCAUUAUUUUGUAGUCUGCUUCACCGUGAACUUGAAUGAAGACCCAGAUUGUUAUCUAAUUUGUGAAAGUCAUUGAGCUGCUGCUACGCGCACUAGAAGAUUGUGUUGGUAGGAUUUUGUACUAUUUGUUGAGUUCUUCCAUUGUCUAGCUGAUUCAGAAUUUGGGUCAGGCCAGUGGACAAAAUAUGCUUAUUUGCAUGGUUACUAGUGUAUGUCGGUCAUGCAUCUGAAGCCACUUACUUUUCAGGAUUUUUAGGAUGGCGGCUAAGCUUCUCUUUAAUGUUGCUUUCUCUGAAAUAUUUUUUAGUACAGUUGGUGAUUCUGUUUCUGCCUGAUGACUUGUUGUAUUAUUGUUCCAGUUUCCAGAAUAAGCUAAUGGAAACUGUAUUUGGGUAGACAUGAUUUCAGGUCUGAUUGCAACCAUUUUAUUCUUCUGUUUUCCAUAUUUAGAAAUCUAGCCUCUAUUCCAAUUAUUACGACAAUUCAGCUUUUGAAGUGUAUUUCUUCUACAGGAAAGUUUCAUCUAUACCUUAAGAUAAAAAGUACCUGAUGAUGAACCAUACCAUAGCAAUCUUCAGUUAUAAAAAUUGGCUAUGUUAUCUAGAAUUUUUAUAUUUUUCUUUACUGUGAACAUUUGUGAACCUUUGCUGGACUGCUUGCCCUGGAUAAAUAGUAGGGCAUGAUAAUUGGUAAAUAUAGGAGCUGCAUAGGAAAAUUGACUGCCACAAAAAGAGUUAUAUUGGCAAUGGUUUCUGCAUUUAGUAUAAAAUAUUUUAGUUGAAAGAUUGCUUCAAAUCUAAAGUCAGAAGUGGCAAGUAUGUUGUCAUCACGGCACCACAUAGGUACAUAUGAUCAGCCAAACAUAGGCACAUAGGAUUACUACUCAGUUUUUCUGCAUAUGCAUCUAGCAGCAACUCUUUUGUGUUCUCGUCUUAAAUUUCCUAUUCAAGUAGUUCAAGCAAAUGGUUUCAAGUGGUGUGAAGGCUCCCAGUCAAUGUUUGGUUUACAAAUUUAAGAAUUAGCAUCGGUAGUUUAGAUGAGCACCAUGUGUACAUACUCAUCUCCCUGUUGUCUAUAUUACAUUGUUUCAAAUUUGAAAGUGCUUUAGGUAAUUCUUGGGUGCCUUGUGGAACGUUUCAAUUUCAGGCAUCAUUCCUAAAUUGUUUGGCGUCCAUGAAUUUCUCGAUGAGGUUGUUAUGCACCACACUGCAUCAUGUAGGAUUUUGGCGCUCGUGAUCUUUCUUGCUUAGGUGACCUGCCCCAAUCCUUCUUCCCCUCCCCAAUCAGGUUGUUUUGCGUAUACCCCUUUGCUACUAUGUGGUAUUUCAUUGAAGCUGACAUCGCAAGAGGAAACAGAGGAUAUAUUCGUGAUCAGCGCAUUGGUGUCUAAGGCUGCUUCCUGUAGUUUUUGUCACUGCGCCGACAAGUGAGAUAACAAACAUGGAUAUAUCAGUGUAGAUAAUUGUAUCUUUAUUUUCCGAUUAAUUUAAGUAAAAAAUAUCAAGAAUGAUGUUCGGAAAGCUAUGCUGGACCAGAUAGGACUGGCUCGUGAGACUUGGAAUGAAAGAUACCCGGGGCUCCUGGUGUAUGUGGGACAAUCAAGAACAAAAGUCUUUGCGUAUCUGAAGGAUAGAAUUUGGCAACGUAUACAAUGGUGGAAGGAAAAGAUGCUAAGCAAGGCAGCGAAGGAGAUUCUGAUAAUGGCUUGCGCCCAGGCCAUACCCACUUUUGCCAUGUCAGUUUUGACCUUACAAAGGGGCUAUGUGAAAAUCCAUUUUUUUAUAUGUCUCUGCGCCAUUUGGUGCACCGGGAGCUGGUCUUAUCUUUUGACGACCCAAAUAUCGGAUGGAGUCGAUUCAAGCACCACAUGCUGGAAAUACUGCACCAUAGUGACAUAAGGGGCAUCACAUUCAGGAAACCUAAUGAUUCCAUAUACACCUUCCAAUGCCUGAUUGCAUGUGCCAACAAGAUGGAAUAUGAUCUAGGCAUUAGCAUACAUAACUGAGGGAUGCAUAUCCUCUGCCUUUGUGCAACAAAGGCACCAAAGGCAUGGCAUUGUUGGCUGCAUGAUCAGGAUUUGAUGGUCAUGAUGUAAACUGGAGUGAAAUAAAGCAUUUGGUGCUUCUCA